ensembl:processed_transcript
GGGAAAUGGAGUGAGGCAUACAAGGAUAUGUGUGGUUUUACUCUUGGGAAGGAGGUUGAACAGUGCAAUAUUUCUUCUAUAGGAUUGCAGUGACCAGACAUGCUACUGUAACUCUCAUGGUCAUGUGCUGGAAUUAGCAGAUAUUCAACAAUUUGGCCAUCUCGCUGACCUAUUGAUAUCAGAAGACCGCAGCAGCUCUGCAAAGCAAGUUGCAAAACAGAAUCCAUGAAACUGGCAGUGACUGGAAACCAAUUGGAAGACUUUGGUCUGUGAUGUAGAGGAGUGGGCAGAGGCAGAAGCAAAGACAACAAAAAACAGAAGUGAUAUGGAUGUCUUUGUCAUAUGGCAUGACUCUGCUGACCCAGCAACAAAGAGGAGGUUGUUCAACAUCAUCCUGCUAGUCAGGAUUCUUCAGGAGAAGCAGUUGAUUCUUGUGGCAGAGAUGGCCAACCACUAUACCUUUCAACUCAUCCUGGUUCUUUCAAAGAACUUUCCUGCUUGUUUGCUUCUGAA